rnacentral:rRNA from 1 species
AUGGUUUGGCAGCGACCAGAUCCACCGCCGGCGGCGUCCGGGGGGCCGAGAUCUGGAGGAGGUGAAGUCGGGGACAGAUGGGAGGCGGCUGUGCACGCGAUGAGCGAGGCGACCAAGGAGACGGUGGUGACCACCAAAGCGGCGCCGCCACCCCCGCCAUCUGCACCAACGUCGACCACCAGCGAGCUCUGCAUCAACUGCAACCUCCCAGACUAUGUGGUUUGGCCCUCCCUGCCUCAUAUAGUACCCCUUGAAGAGGGUUCCACAGAAGAGGGAGAGAAAUGCAGCACCUAUACUGUUGAAUCUCCAAUUGGGUCUCCUAUCCAUGACACUAUGGUCCAUGAGGGAAAAGCUUCACGCAGGCAAAUGCAGAAAAUGGGACGAGUGGAGGAAGUGGCUAUCAACAGGAAGAAACGUGACUCUGAAGGUUUGCUUAAAGAAGAUGAUAAGAUGAAGUUCCAGACUGGUGUGAAGAGAUUGGCUCAUGCGGCUGCUGCAUUGGCGGAUAGAUCCUUUCCCCGCGGCAGACUCCUCCUCGGCGACAAUGAUGGGAUCCAGAUCGGCUAG